rnacentral:rRNA from 1 species
GUCCACGCCCUAACGAUGAUGACUAGUUGUUGGAGGAGUUAAAUCCUUUAGUAACGCAGCUAACGCGAGAAGUCAUCCGCCUGGGGAGUACGGUCGCAAGAUUAAACUCAAAGGAAUUGACGGGCCCGCACAAGCGGUGGAUGAUGUGGUUUAAUUCGAUGCAACGCGAAAACCUUACCUACCCUUGACAUGUCAGGAAUCCUCCAGAGACGUGGGAGUGCCCGAAAGGGAGCCUGAACACAGGUGCUGCAUGGCUGUCGU